CCCUUUGAUACUCUGGGCGGUACGCGCGCUACACUGGUUUAUAUAACGUGUAAUUUGGACGAUAGUCUGUAUAAAUCACUAAUAUAAAACCGUGAAUGGGAUAGUUUAUUGCAACUUACAAACUUUAACUAGGAAUCCCUUGUAGAAGUAGUGAAUUAUACUGCUUCGAAUACGUCCCUGCCGAUUGUACACACCGCCCGUCGUUUCUUCCGACUGGUACUCAUUGUGAAUUGCGAGGAGAUUCUGUCAAAUCGUUGUAAAUGCUGGGGAUUGGAGGAAGAAAAAGUCGUAACA
rnacentral:rRNA from 1 species